rnacentral:rRNA from 1 species
CGGACGGGUGAGUAACGCGUGGGUAACCUGCCUCACACUGGGGGAUAACAGUUAGAAAUAGCUGCUAAUACCGCAUAAGCGCACAGUUCCGCAUGGAACAGUGUGAAAAACUCCGGUGGUGUGAGAUGGACCCGCGUCUGAUUAGCCAGUUGGCGGGUAACGGCCCACCAAAGCGACGAUCAGUAGCCGGCCUGAGAGGGUGAACGGCCACAUUGGGACUGAGACACGGCCCAA